GAUGAACGCUGGCGGCGUGCCUAAUACAUGCAAGUCGAGCGAACGGACGAGAAGCUUGCUUCUCUGAUGUUAGCGGCGGACGGGUGAGUAACACGUGGAUAACCUACCUAUAAGACUGGGAUAACUUCGGGAAACCGGAGCUAAUACCGGAUAAUAUUUUGAACCGCAUGGUUCAAAAGUGAAAGACGGUCUUGCUGUCACUUAUAGAUGGAUCGGCGCUGCAUUCGCUAGUUGGUAAGGUAACGGCUUACCAAGGCAACGAUGCAUAGCCGACCUGAGAGGGUGAUCGGCAACACUGGAACUGAGACACGGUCCAGACUCCGACGGGAGGCAGCAGUAGGGAAUCUUCCGCAAUGGGCGAAAGCCUGACGGAGCAACGCCGCGGGAGUGAUGAAGGUCUUCGGAUCGUAAAACUCUGUUAUUAGGGAAGAACAUAUGUGUAAGUAACUGUGCACAUCUUGACGGUACCUAAUCAGAAAGCCACGGCUAACUACGUG
rnacentral:rRNA from 1 species